GCCGGAGUGGCGAAACAGGCAGACGCAAGGGACUUAAAAUCCCUCGACCGCAAGGUCAUACCGGUUCGAUCCCGGUCUCCGGCACCA
rnacentral:tRNA from 1 species